rnacentral:rRNA from 1 species
UACGAAGGGUGCAAGCGUUACUCGGAAUUACUGGGCGUAAAGCGUGCGUAGGUGGUUUGUUAAGUCUGAUGUGAAAGCCCUGGGCUCAACCUGGGAAUUGCAUUGGAUACUGGCAAGCUAGAGUGCGGUAGAGGAUGGCGGAAUUCCCGGUGUAGCAGUGAAAUGCGUAGAGAUCGGGAGGAACAUCUGUGGCGAAGGCGGCCAUCUGGACCAGCACUGACGCUGAGGCACGAAAGCGUGGGGAGCAAACAGG